GGUUAAGCGACUAAGCGUACACGGUGGAUGCCCUGGCAGUCAGAGGCGAUGAAGGACGUGCUAAUCUGCGAUAAGCGUCGGUGAGGUGAUAUGAACCGUUAUAACCGGCGAUUUCCGAAUGGGGAAACCCAGUGUGUUUCGACACACUAUCAUUAACUGAAUCCAUAGGUUAAUGAGGCGAACCGGGGGAACUGAAACAUCUAAGUACCCCGAGGAAAAGAAAUCAACCGAGAUUCCCCCAGUAGCGGCGAGCGAACGGGGAGGAGCCCAGAGCCUGAAUCAGUGUGUGUGUUAGUGGAAGCGUCUGGAAAGGCGCGCGAUACAGGGUGACAGCCCCGUACACAAAAAUGCACAUAUUGUGAGCUCGAUGAGUAGGGCGGGACACGUGGUAUCCUGUCUGAAUAUGGGGGGACCAUCCUCCAAGGCUAAAUACUCCUGACUGACCGAUAGUGAACCAGUACCGUGAGGGAAAGGCGAAAAGAACCCCGGCGAGGGGAGUGAAAAAGAACCUGAAACCGUGUACGUACAAGCAGUGGGAGCCUCUUAAUGGGGUGACUGCGUACCUUUUGUAUAAUGGGUCAGCGACUUAUAUUCUGUAGCAAGGUUAACCGAAUAGGGGAGCCGAAGGGAAACCGAGUCUUAACUGGGCGUUAAGUUGCAGGGUAUAGACCCGAAACCCGGUGAUCUAGCCAUGGGCAGGUUGAAGGUUGGGUAACACUAACUGGAGGACCGAACCGACUAAUGUUGAAAAAUUAGCGGAUGACUUGUGGCUGGGGGUGAAAGGCCAAUCAAACCGGGAGAUAGCUGGUUCUCCCCGAAAGCUAUUUAGGUAGCGCCUCGUGAAUUCAUCUCCGGGGGUAGAGCACUGUUUCGGCAAGGGGGUCAUCCCGACUUACCAACCCGAUGCAAACUGCGAAUACCGGAGAAUGUUAUCACGGGAGACACACGGCGGGUGCUAACGUCCGUCGUGAAGAGGGAAACAACCCAGACCGCCAGCUAAGGUCCCAAAGUCAUGGUUAAGUGGGAAACGAUGUGGGAAGGCCCAGACAGCCAGGAUGUUGGCUUAGAAGCAGCCAUCAUUUAAAGAAAGCGUAAUAGCUCACUGGUCGAGUCGGCCUGCGCGGAAGAUGUAACGGGGCUAAACCAUGCACCGAAGCUGCGGCAGCGACACUAUGUGUUGUUGGGUAGGGGAGCGUUCUGUAAGCCUGUGAAGGUGGCCUGUGAGGGUUGCUGGAGGUAUCAGAAGUGCGAAUGCUGACAUAAGUAACGAUAAAGCGGGUGAAAAGCCCGCUCGCCGGAAGACCAAGGGUUCCUGUCCAACGUUAAUCGGGGCAGGGUGAGUCGACCCCUAAGGCGAGGCCGAAAGGCGUAGUCGAUGGGAAACAGGUUAAUAUUCCUGUACUUGGUGUUACUGCGAAGGGGGGACGGAGAAGGCUAUGUUGGCCGGGCGACGGUUGUCCCGGUUUAAGCGUGUAGGCUGGUUUUCCAGGCAAAUCCGGAAAACCAAGGCUGAGGCGUGAUGACGAGGCACUACGGUGCUGAAGCGACAAAUGCCCUGCUUCCAGGAAAAGCCUCUAAGCAUCAGGUAACAUCAAAUCGUACCCCAAACCGACACAGGUGGUCAGGUAGAGAAUACCAAGGCGCUUGAGAGAACUCGGGUGAAGGAACUAGGCAAAAUGGUGCCGUAACUUCGGGAGAAGGCACGCUGAUAUGUAGGUGAAGCGACUUGCUCGUGGAGCUGAAAUCAGUCGAAGAUACCAGCUGGCUGCAACUGUUUAUUAAAAACACAGCACUGUGCAAACACGAAAGUGGACGUAUACGGUGUGACGCCUGCCCGGUGCCGGAAGGUUAAUUGAUGGGGUUAGCGGUAACGCGAAGCUCUUGAUCGAAGCCCCGGUAAACGGCGGCCGUAACUAUAACGGUCCUAAGGUAGCGAAAUUCCUUGUCGGGUAAGUUCCGACCUGCACGAAUGGCGUAAUGAUGGCCAGGCUGUCUCCACCCGAGACUCAGUGAAAUUGAACUCGCUGUGAAGAUGCAGUGUACCCGCGGCAAGACGGAAAGACCCCGUGAACCUUUACUAUAGCUUGACACUGAACAUUGAGCCUUGAUGUGUAGGAUAGGUGGGAGGCUUUGAAGUGUGGACGCCAGUCUGCAUGGAGCCGACCUUGAAAUACCACCCUUUAAUGUUUGAUGUUCUAACGUUGGCCCGUAAUCCGGGUUGCGGACAGUGUCUGGUGGGUAGUUUGACUGGGGCGGUCUCCUCCUAAAGAGUAACGGAGGAGCACGAAGGUUGGCUAAUCCUGGUCGGACAUCAGGAGGUUAGUGCAAUGGCAUAAGCCAGCUUGACUGCGAGCGUGACGGCGCGAGCAGGUGCGAAAGCAGGUCAUAGUGAUCCGGUGGUUCUGAAUGGAAGGGCCAUCGCUCAACGGAUAAAAGGUACUCCGGGGAUAACAGGCUGAUACCGCCCAAGAGUUCAUAUCGACGGCGGUGUUUGGCACCUCGAUGUCGGCUCAUCACAUCCUGGGGCUGAAGUAGGUCCCAAGGGUAUGGCUGUUCGCCAUUUAAAGUGGUACGCGAGCUGGGUUUAGAACGUCGUGAGACAGUUCGGUCCCUAUCUGCCGUGGGCGCUGGAGAACUGAGGGGGGCUGCUCCUAGUACGAGAGGACCGGAGUGGACGCAUCACUGGUGUUCGGGUUGUCAUGCCAAUGGCACUGCCCGGUAGCUAAAUGCGGAAGAGAUAAGUGCUGAAAGCAUCUAAGCACGAAACUUGCCCCGAGAUGAGUUCUCCCUGAGACUUAGAGUCUCCUGAAGGAACGUUGAAGACGACGACGUUGAUAGGCCGGGUGUGUAAGCGCAGCGAUGCGUUGAGCUAACCGGUACUAAUGAACCGUGAGGCUUAACCUU
rnacentral:rRNA from 2 species